CCCCUCGAUGACGAGGAGAUGAUGUCGUACAUCCUCGCCAGACUCGACGACGAUUAUGAGCCCGUCGUCUCCACUCUUGUCGGCAAGACGGAGGCUGUACCAGUCGCCGAAAUCUACACCCAGCUCCUGAGUUUUGAGA
rfam:Oryza nivara chromosome 10, whole genome shotgun sequence.